AUUUUAUCCAAGGCAGUUUUAAGAUUCAGGCCUACUCACCAGACUAUCAAAAUGAACAGAUGACUUCAGGCUGACUCGAUGACUCUUCCAUUUAACACUCUAGACUUUUCCAUAAAAUAAAAGAAGGUGCAGAUAAUUAGAUAUUUUUAGGCCAAGACAUUUUUUUUUGUUGGUUUGAUUUUUUAAUUAUCCGUUUCUAGAAACGUCUUCCAGCCAAACUAAAC